GCGUGUGAGCUUGUUCAUGGUCUGACAGAGGAGCCAGCAGAAGGAGAAGUGUUGGUUUUACAUUAACCUCUGCCCAAACCUUGUCCUUUCUGGGGCACUGAGUGCAACUGUGUGCUCUUGUUCCCACGACCUAGGGAUCCAGGUACAGUUGCUUUCCUGCUUUCUGCUUGCAGAGUUAGAUGCCAGCCAUCUGUCCAACUGCUGGGCAGGGAAGAUAAACACUGCAGCCCUGGGAGCCCUGCAGAGAGCAGAGGAAAGAAUUCUUGAGGACCCCCACCCCACACGUUUCGAAAGGAGACAUAAUCAGCAAACGGCUCGAAAAGCAGCUAACUUAAGAGUAAAUAACGAUCAAGAGGUACCAUGGAAGAGACAAUGUCCUGUUGGCCAGCACAAUUAAAAUCAAUAUCACUGGUAAGAAAAUGAUAUAUCCACUGUGAAUGACUUUGGAAUGGUUUCUGUCAGGGCCCUUGCUUGUGAUUAAAGCUAAGGACGAAAAAUUCA
rnacentral:sRNA from 1 species